ACUGUAAAACAUUAUAGCCUCAUUAAGUUAUGUGUACUAACAUUUGCUAUUUAGUUCUACUACACACAGCAAGUUUUAGAUAUUCAACCCAAGUCUGUAAGUUUUCACAAAGUUAAACUUAAAGUUACAUAUUGUCUUAACUACUUGUGAGUUGUCUCUGUGAUGUGAAUGUUCAUUUAACUAACUUCUGUAAGUUAUGAAUCACAACGAGAGGGAGGGGUCGUGUCCAGAAAAGACCGGGAAAAUUUCAGUUAACUUUACCUCAGACACAGCGCUCAUCUGAAAUGACCAAUAAUACAUUUUUUUUGCAAGGCUGCAAAGGAGGUAUGUAUGAUUUUUUUUGUCUUGAUGUAAUAAAGAUGCCCUUUAUACAUUUUUAGAUAAAAAUAUUGAGUUUAAAGUAAAGAAAAUAUGCAGACAUCGAGCCUGCUUUGCGAAUGCGUCGUCGUCAGGAUAUUUAUCUGCUUUCACAUCGAAGCAUCAAAUGUUAAAAGAGUUUAAUACACCAUGGGGACAAUUUUGGAUAUUUCAAUUGGUUGUGCGUAACGUUAUAUCGAUUAUUUUGAUUAUAAAUAUAGCUUACAGUUUAACAUUUAAGCUUAACAGAUUUGUUUGUUCACUGUCAAUGUGAAUUAAUCACGGGCUGAGUCUUAAGCGUUUAAGAAACGGGUAAUGUAUUAUUGUGAUGCUUGAAAGAUUUUUAUCCUCGUGCGAUUAAGGGCACGAGGGGAAUAUGCGUUGAAAUGAACGCAAAUAGUGUCUAAUAAGUGUUCGAGGAUCUGUUCGUCUGACAUAAAGGCCAUAAAAAACCUUUAAAUAGAUUUAUAUCUCUCAGUCACUUAACAAGUGGACACAAUAUCUGUUCGUUUCCACAGAAUUAUGUGUUUAAGUCUAGCAGGGCAGCCAUUUCAGGCUACUGCGCACGCGCAUAGGUUUGCAACCUCUCGCCAGAGAAUCCCCUUUACAUGUUGUUGAUGGACGCACGUGUUUGCUGAACAUACAGGACACCAUAUGAUUAAAAACUGCCUCCCUAUCUUGUCAUAAAUAACAGGUAUUUGCAUGAUUUUUACCAUUUUAUAAUCUGUAUGUCGUAUUUUUGGUAUUUUGUACAAGAGUACUAAGUAUUUUGAUCAUAGCGAUUACAGUGGUGUAAGUUACCGGAUCGCAGACGACCAUAGACUGUAAAAAAUAGAUCACGACCCACGGUUCGGCUCCCAUGCGAUUCGCGGAUUAAUAUCUAUACAAAGUUUGUCAUUUGCAUGUUUAUUAAAGUCUUGCAAAUGUUAACACUCAAGUGAUUUUUAAACAAUUUAACCACAAAAGUCUGUUUUUACUUUUUACAGUCUCGUUUUGUCACUCUGCAUCUUGUGGCUGAUAAGCUAUUGAAGAAGAGCUGUCCAUCACUUUAUGGACAUUCAAGUUAACAUAAGGUAUUGUAAACGCAAUUUUACCUAAUACUAUCAACUUAAUACAUUUACUGUAAACUGUGCAGUUCUUUACUCAUACAAUUUCAUGUUUUUUUUUCCUAAUCUGCUUUUAUUACUUUGUCUUGUUUUGUUACUCUGCAUCUUUGUGGCCGCCCAUCACUUUGACGACGUUCAAGUUAACAUAAGUCCGCUUGCUAUUGAAGAAGAGCUGCCCAUCACUUUGACGACGUUCAAGUUAACAUAAGGUAUUGUAAAAACAAUGUUGGCCUAAUACUAUCAACUUAAUACAUUUACUGUAAACUGUGCAGUUCUUUACUCAUACAAUUUCAUGUUUUUUUUUUCCUAAUCUGCUUUUAUUACUUUGUCUUGUUUUGUUACUCUGCAUCUUUGUGGCCGCCCAUCACUUUGACGACGUUCAAGUUAACAUAAGUCCGCUUGCUAUUGAAGAAGAGCUGCCCAUCACUUUGACGACGUUCAAGUUAACAUAAGGUAUUGUAAAAACAAUGUUGGCCUAAUACUAUCAACUUAAUACAUUUACUGUAAACUGUGCAGUUCUUUACUCAUACAAUUUCAUGUUUUUUUUUUCCUAAUCUGCUUUUAUUACUUUGUCUUGUUUUGUUACUCUGCAUCUUUGUGGCCGCCCAUCACUUUGACGACGUUCAAGUUAACAUAAGUCCGCUUGCUAUUGAAGAAGAGCUGCCCAUCACUUUGACGACGUUCAAGUUAACAUAAGUCCGCUUUUACUACUUUGUCUCGUUUGGUCACUCUGCAUCUGUGUGGCUGCAUAGAAGAAGAGCUGCUCAUCACUUUGACGACAUUCAAGUUAACAUAAGCAGUUGGUGCAUUAAGAUACCUCUCAGAGUUAUUGUGUCAUCUCAAGAAAUAAGGUGUGUCACCCUAGAGAGUUUUCCUGAGUCAGUCAAGGAGCUAUGUGUGACAUGGUGCAUCAUUCUGGGCUUGCAAGGAAACUUUCUUCUACACUUUGAGGAUCCAGACUUUGGAAAUGAGCACUGCAAUUUCACCGAUAUUAAAGAUCUACCAUCAGAUCGAGUGACACUGAAAGUUUUGUUGACAGCUUCUGGUUCGGUUUCUGACUUUGCAUUACAAUUACUACUAGUGCCUCGUCAGUGGAAUGGCCUGAUCCUUUUGUUAUUCCUGAUUUCUCUCAUGAUGUUGAACUUCAGUUGAGCGCUGCAAAUUAUGCCUAUGCCAGGGAUGGAACAGUAAUGGUCAUUUCCAAUGGUGUUAAAUACAAGACAAACCAGCUGAUGUGAAAUGUUGACUGUUUCCAAGGUCCAUCGGUUUAUUUUGUAAAAGACUUUCUUAGCGACUGGGUAUUAACAAAAAAGGUUUGGUGAUAGUUAUAUUGCAUUAAUUGUUCUUUAAAAAAAACUAACUCUAAAAUACGUGGCUUUUAAAAUAAUAAUAAUAAUACUAAUAAUUUGAAAAUUAACAGUGCAAAACUAUUUUUAUCAUAUUUGAGUUUUUAUCAGUAAAAGAAACAUUACACAUACCUGUAUCUAUUAUUACAACUAUGGUGUUGAUUUCACAGUUUAAAAACAUUAAAGAAACCCAUAUAAUAUUUAAAUGAAAUUUGUUUUUAAUAAACAUUUGUAAUAUUCAUUUUUAACAAAAAUGCUUUUCCAAGCCAAUGUUACAAAUUGUUCUUGUGCAAAUAAAUAGUUUUUGAGCUAAUAAUUUGCAA